GCUAGCGUAGCUUAACACAAAGCAUAGCACUGAAAAUGCUAAAAUGGGUCAUAAUAUACCCCGCAGGCA
rnacentral:tRNA from 1 species